GUUGAGUGUCUGACUUCCUCUCAGGUCAUGAUCUCAUGGUUCCCAAGUUCAAGCUCCAUUGUCAGACUCUGUGCUGACAGCUCAGAGCCUGGAGCCUGCUUCAGAUUCUGUGUCCCCCUCUCUGUCUGCCCCUCCCCCACUCAUGCUCUGUCUCUAUCUCUCUC